GUAAGUUUAUGUACCUGUUUGGAUAGCUUGGCGUCAAUACUGGAAUCGACUCUGUGACACUCAAUGGAGAGGUAUCGUGGUUAAGCCAUCAGACAUAAGGCUGCUGUUAUCUAUCUUCAGUACAUAUAAUAUUAUCAAGAUUUAUUGAAGAUGCAGAAGAUGAAAUGGACGAAGAGAAGACCAAUACCAAGAAGAAAAGGACUGAAGAAAAUGUACAACAUUUGACUGCAAGAGUGUGUUGACAAUGCAGAAGAACGAGACGGUCGACCCUUUCAAAGACAUACCCGAUGACGAUGAACUGGAGAACAACGGAAAUGUGGUUGAAGCCUCUUCCAGUGGUGAUGAAGAUGUGGAAUC
rnacentral:misc_RNA from 1 species